AGUGAACGCUGGCGGUAGGCCUAACACAUGCAAGUCGAACGGCAGCACAGUAAGAGCUUGCUCUUACGGGUGGCGAGUGGCGGACGGGUGAGGAAUACAUCGGAAUCUACUUUUUCGUGGGGGAUAACGUAGGGAAACUUACGCUAAUACCGCAUACGACCUACGGGUGAAAGCAGGGGAUCUUCGGACCUUGCGCGAUUGAAUGAGCCGAUGUCGGAUUAGCUAGUUGGCGGGGUAAAGGCCCACCAAGGCGACGAUCCGAAGCUGGUCUGAGAGGAUGAUCAGCCACACUGGAACUGAGAAACGGUCCAGACUCCUACGGUAGGCAGCGGUGGGGAAUAUUGGACAAUGGGCGCAAGCCUGAUCCAGCCAUACCGCGUGGGUGAAGAAGGACUUCGGGUUGUAAAGCCCUUUUGUUGGGAAAGAAAAGCAGCAGGUUAAUACCCCGCUGUUCUGACGGUACCCAAAGAAUAAGCACCGGCUAACUUCGUG
rnacentral:rRNA from 1 species